rnacentral:rRNA from 1 species
CACGUAGGGUGCGAGCGUUGUCCGGAAUUAUUGGGCGUAAAUAGCUCGUAGGCGGUGUGUCACGUCGGCCGUGAAAACCUGCAGCUUAACUGUGGGCUUGCGGUCGAUACGGGCAUCACUGGAGUUCGGCAGGGGAGACUGGAAUUCCUGGUGUAGCGGUGAAAUGCGCAGAUAUCAGGAGGAACACCGAUGGCGAAGGCAGAUCUCUGGGCCGUAACUGACGCUGAGGAGCGAAAGCAUGGGGAGCGAACAGG